GACAUGUAGCGAACUUCCAGAGAUGGAUUGGUGACUCGAAAGAGAACGCUAACACAGGUGCUGCAUGGCUGUCGUCAGCUCGUGUCGUGAGAUGUUGGGUUAAGUCCCGCAACGAGCGCAACCCUUGCCAUUAAUUGCCAUCAUUUAGUUGGGCACUUUAAUGGGAACUGCCGGUGACAAACCGGAGGAAGGUGGGGAUGACGUCAAGUCCUCAUGGCCCUUAUGGCCAGGGCUUCACACGUAAUACAAUGGUCGGUACAGAGGGUUGCCAAGCCGCGAGGUGGAGCCAAUCCCAGAAAGCCGAUCGUAGUCCGGAUUGUAGUCUGCAACUCGACUACAUGAAGUCGGAAUCGCUAGUAAUCGCGGAUCAGCAUGUCGCGGUGAAUACGUUCCCGGGUCUU
rnacentral:rRNA from 1 species